UAAGGUCGCGGCGAGAUUAGCCGGUAUUAAUUAAUAAUAAUAGGUGUUAGGUGGAAGUGCAAUGAUGCAUGUAGCUGAAACAUACUAAUAAUAGAAAGUAAAAAAAGACCAAUAGAAUUAAAC
rnacentral:rRNA from 1 species